rnacentral:misc_RNA from 1 species
AUCAUUUAGAGGAAGGAGAAGUCGUAACAAGGUUUCCGUAGGUGAACCUGCGGAAGGAUCAUUGUCGAAACCUGCAAGGCAGAACGACCCGCGAACAAGUGAAAACUAACGCGAGCGAUGAGCCUUUUGGGCCGAUUGCUCGAAGUCCAAGGGGAGGGAUGUGGGAAACUACAGCCCCUCUUCCACGGGCACAACGAACCCCGGCGCGAAUUGCGCCAAGGAACCAAAAAAAGAUGUGCGCUCCCUUCGCUUGGAAACAGUGUCGUAGGGGGUUGCUUCGUCGUCCAUAUUAUAUAUGAAACGACUCUCGGCAACGGAUAUCUCGGCUCUCGCAUCGAUGAAGAACGUAGCGAAAUGCGAUACUUGGUGUGAAUUGCAGAAUCCCGUGAACCAUCGAGUUUUUGAACGCAAGUUGCGCCCGAAGCCGUCAGGCCGAGGGCACGCCUGCCUGGGUGUCACGCAACGUCGCCAACAAUCCCCUCACCCCCUGCAUAGGGAAUAGUUARGGGUGGCGGAUAUUGGCCUCCCGUGUGCUCCCGCUCGCGGUUGGCCCAAAAAACAACCCCUUGGCGAUGGUAGCCACGGCACGCGGUGGUUGGAAGCACUAGCUCCUUAAAAACCGCUGUGGGCAAGCCUCGUCGACGGGGAGCAAAAGACCCUGACGCAAGCGUCCUCACAAAGCGACCCCAGUCAGGCGGGAACACCCGCUGAGUUUAAGCAUAUCAU